GCCCCGCCCCCUCCGUCUCAUUGGUAAAGACGCAACACAUCCUUCGAGACGCAGGAGCGCGCACCGUCGCGAUGACGUCACCUGCGCGCUCUCAGGUCUGGCCAAAAGGAACUUGCACCAGCUAGAUCAAAAUAGCGGCUUUUAUUUCACAUUCCUCAAUACACAGUUCAUCGAAGUAUCCUCAGGAUCUGCAUGUGGAGUAUAGAUACUAAGUGUAAUCAAGGACAACUCCAAGGUUCUUAGUCCAAGAACUGGAAGGUCGAAGCUGAUAUUUACUGAAAUGGAGAACUCUGCAAGAGCAGGUUUGGGAGCAAGGAAGCCUUGGAAUUCAGUUCUGGAUAUAUGAAUUUGAGUUGCUAUAUCAGGCUCUUUAGAGUAAGUUUGUUGCAGUAAAUAACUCCAAAAAUCUUAGUGCCUUAAAACAAAAAAGUUUAUUUCUUGCUCACCUGUGUGUCUGCUGCAUGUUGACUCUGGCUGUGUUGACUUCAUCCCAUGACCCAGGCUGAAGGAGCAGAGAUGGUUCUGAUUUUAGAACAGAGGGAAGAAAGCACAGUGGAGCCACAUCAUGGCCCUUAAGGCUUCUUCUAAGGCUGGCACAAGUCACUUCUACUCAUAUGUCAUUGAUCAAAGUAAGUCACGUGGCCAACUCUGACAUCAAGGUUAAGUAUAAUUCUAGGACUGUAAAAAGCAGAAGGCAAAAAAUAUUUCAAAUAAUAAUAUAGUACACUGCAGAUGCCUAUUUGACAUUUAAGUGGCAAUGUCACUAGGUAGUUGGAUGUAUGAAUCUGAAGGUCAGGAGAGAAAUCCAGGCUGCAUAUACGAAUUUUAGAAUCUUUAGCAUGUAAUAUUUACAUUCCUGAAGUUAGAAGAGAUCACCAAAGGAGUAAGUAUAAGUAGAGAAAAGUUCAGAGGACUGAGCCAGGGGCACUCUGGCAAUUUAGAAAUCAGAAAAGUGAGAAAUAAUCAACCAUGACUGAGAAAGAGUGGCCCUGGAGUCAGUGGUGUGCUGGAGGUAAAGCAAAGAUGAUCUCGGGUAAGAGGGGGUGAUGAGCUCUGUCAAAGCCUGCUGAUAGGAUACAAAGAGGACUGGCAGUUGAGUGGAAGUUGUUGUAAAGCUGAGAAAAGCAGUUUUACUGCUGGGGUUGGGGAAGAAGCCUCAUUCUAGUGGGUUUAAGAGAGAAUGGUAGUAAAUGAAGUAAAGCAAGGAGCAAAUGUGAACAGACCAAACAGAUUAUUCACAGGAAGACAAAAGAAGUUACUGAAAGAAUGCCAAAGACACAGCUACACUGGUAAAGAUCAGAGAAGCAGAGAUGCUGGAGUUCUGAGUACAGGAGCAGAGUGGCUGUUCCAACUCAAAUACACAUCAUUUAAGUGCAUCUACUCAGGUGUCUCCAUUCCUCACCACCAGAGGAAGCUACAUCAACCCACCACCCUUUCCCGAUCAAUUAACUCCACCUUUAUUACAUUUAAAAGUUUCUUUCCUUGUACAUCUUCUCUGAACCCCUGGUCUUGGAGUGCCCCAGAUUUUACUCCUUGCUCUUCUUGUCUAUCUGCAUUCACUUCCUUGAUCUUAUCCAGUCUCAAAGCUUGAAACAUCUAUAUGCCAUGACUCCCACAUUUCUAACUUUAUUCAUCCUUUUCUUCAAAUCACAAUCCAACUGCAUACUUGGUAUUUCCAUUUGGGUGUCCAAUAGAUUGAACUGCUGCUGAUAACCCUACUAUAAACCUUAUUCACAGACCUCUGACUUCGGCUGAUGGCAUUCUGAGCCUUCCACUUCUAGAUUCUGUGACUCCUCUGCUCAAAACCUCCAAUCCCAUAGGCAGAAUGAUUAAGAAACUUGCCCAGUGUCAUCCCAUUAAUCAGUGACAGAGGUGAGACCCCAACUCAAGCAGCUUGAUGGGAACCUGUGCUCUGCACCACAGUACUUUGACACAUGCACACGCUCAGUAGGUUACACGAUGUUACGUCUAGUAUGAGUCCCUGUUAUAUAGACAUAUGGAUUUGUAAGAAAAUGUGAAAAGGAUAUAUACCAAUAUAUUUGCACUGUGAUCUUGGGAUGGAUAAGUUAUGGUUUGAUGUUUUUCCUUGAUUUUGUUUAUGUGUAUUUUUUACAUCUUCAACAAUGAAAAUAUAUUACAUUUACCACAAGGAAAAUAUCCUUACAGAUUUUUUUUUUAAUUCAGGAUUCCAGAUGAACUUCAUUCCCUUUAAUCAUUCUGUUUAAUAAAUAAACAUCUCAUUCCAUAAAUUUUUGAGUUGCUCAACCCCGAUACCAGAAAGUACAGGACAUUUUCAGGCAAAUUUUGUUCGUAUUUUUGGCAGAGAUGGACUAUAGAACUGGUACAACUAUACAUCGGAUACAGUAUAGCGUGUCUCUUCCCUUUUCAGUGAGAUAGGGAGAGUGUGUGGGUGGAUUUAUCUUAAGCUCACACUGUGUCUCCACAGUAGACACCCUUCUCCACAUCCUAAAUAGAAAUUUCCUAAACAUAAAUACAAAGACCUUCCCUGGCUUCUAUUUUGUAAAUGGAGAUAACUUUUUGCUAUUUCACCAGUGUCUCAAGAAUAUUUGAUUUUUCUUUUCUUUUAAUUUUUUAAAAAUAUUUAUUUUUGAAAGCUAGAGAGAGCAUGAGUGUGAGUGACUGAGGGCCAGAAAGAGAGGGACACAGAGAAUCUGAAGCAGGCUCCAUGCUGUCAGUGUAAAACCUGACGCGGGGCUUGAACCCAGGACCCACAAGAUCAUGACUGAGCCAAAAUCAGACACUCAACUGACUGAGCCACCCAGGUGCCCUAAGAAAAUUUGAUUUUUCUGAAGGUAAGAGGAAAACAAGCAUGAACACAUUUCUCCUUCCCUAAGAAAAGCAGUAUAAAAGGAAAUAUUUCAGGCUAAAAUGGCUAUUGCCUGGUACUAAAUAUUAGAUGUGAACUGGCCUCCAUCUGUUGGAAUGAGUGACGUGUCAGGCGAAGGAAGGGGAGGGAGGAGUGCUUAUCUGUGGGAAAGGAGAGAAAUUUCCAGUUUCUGGUUACUGGGCUGCCUUACUUAAAACUCUCUUUGAAUAAAUAUUGGCAAGUGGCCCAGAGUCCCAACUUGUGGCUGUUUGAGCUUUGCUAAAGUGCUUGAAGGAAAGUCCUGAAUUGUUGUUCUUAAAUGGAAACUGUAAGUCAUUUGUAGUGGAAAGGAUGACAAAAGAAAAAAAAAUCCCUUCUUACAACAACUUUGAUUCCAGCCAUUCCCCUGAUGAAUUAUUUUGUUUAUUUGUGUACAGGUGUAAUGCAAACCUUUCUGCUUUUUUUCCCCCUAGUGCUUUCCUGAAAGCCACGUCUUCAAACAAAUUGUUGAAAGUAAUUCUUUAUCAGGAACAAAGUUACACUUGGACUUUGUAUUUUUGAUAAAGAAUUCAGCAUAAACAAAGUUCGAUAUAACCAACACCCUAAUCAGUAGUACUAACUUACCUUUGUCUGGCAUUUUAUAAUUUUCUAAAGCACUUUCUUGUAUGUACAUUAAUUUGAUUCUCUGACAAUGCAGAGAGGUAGAUAUUAUUGUCCCUGGUUUAGAAGUGGAUAAAAUGAGACCCAGGAAGAUGAACCAACCUACUCAGGAUCGAUUUAAUUGGUGGUUGAAAGAGGGGGCUAUCCUCCACCACUUCAGUAGGACCAGAGGUACUUUCUGUUGCCCCCAAUGGACAGAAGACAGCUACUAUGUAAAUUAGCACACCCCACCAUCUUGAAGUUAGUGUCAAUUUUUAGUCAGAUCCACACUUGCAUUUCUUUAUAACUUCAAGGCCAAAUAACUCAUCUACACCAUUCAUUCCUGUUCUUAUUACUUACCCUCAAACUCUUUACUCGUACAUAAAUUGCCUAUGCUUCUUUCCCCCAGCUUCUUUCCACCGCUGACCUCUUUGAAACUCUUUCCACUGCAGAAGCCACAGUUUCAUCGUAAGCACUCUCUAUAGCCUCAACAUCCUCACAGAGCCAUACCUUCACUUUCUUGCCUCAAGUGAAACCUGGCUUUUCCCCCAAAGACAUCACUUCCCUUGAGCCCUGACAAACAAAAACUGCUUUUUCCCCUGCCUUUCAACAUGCUGAGAGGUAUGUGGAUGCAGUGUUGAUAUUCUCCUAGCUUCUAGCUGCCAGUUCCAGGUGAUUCCAUUCUUACCUGUAUGAAACUCCCCAGUUUAUGCCCCCUUUUGAGUCUCAUGCUGUAGCAUGAGGUGUAAUCAUCAUCAUCCACCAGCUUAAGGUCACUCCCCCAGAUUCACUGAAAGCUUCAGCACCUGGCCCACACAAAUGCUGCCAGACUCCCACUGUAAUCUCAGCCUUCAUGCCCAUGAUUCACAGCUUCUCAAGCACCUGGAUUCCAUUGCCCUUUGCCUCCAUUUCUCUUUAACACAACUCAUUCCUGUGGCAAAAUCCUAACUUUAUGUUUACUCACAUGCUCUGAAAACCAGAACUCUAGUGACCCUUCACACCUCUGCAACUUUGACACUUUCCUGACUUCUUAGUAAUUUCUGUUCUUGAUCUUUCUUCAAUUCUUUGAGUUGCCCUCCCAUCUUCACUUUCAUCCUUGCCCAGCAUAGACCCCAAAGGCCCAUAAGUUCUCCGAAUGGCUUCUGGGUACCCACCAUGCCCUCCUUCCAUCUUUGCUAUACUCCCAACCAACUCGCUCUCUUCUGUGGUUAUCUGAGUGGUUAAAGGCAUGGGCUGGGGAAGCCUGUUUCUAUCAUUUGAAGACUUUUUCCACCAUGUAAUAAUUCUACCUUGGACAAGUCAUUAAUUUUUCAGGGCUUCCAUUUCCUCAAUUGGGAAAUAGUAGUAUCUUAUCUCCUGACCAUCAUAAAUUAUUGUGAAUAUUAAUUGAGAAUAUAUGUAACAUGCUUAGAAUAGUACCUAUCUCAUAAGUACUCAAUAAAUGUUUAAUAAACUGC